rnacentral:rRNA from 1 species
AUUGAACGCUGGCGGCAGGCCUAACACAUGCAAGUCGAGCGGUAGAGAGAAGCUUGCUUCUCUUGAGAGCGGCGGACGGGUGAGUAAUGCCUAGGAAUCUGCCUGGUAGUGGGGGAUAACGUUCGGAAACGGACGCUAAUACGCAUACGUCCUACGGGAGAAAGCAGGGGACCUUCGGGCCUUGCGCUAUCAGAUGAGCCUAGGUCGGAUUAGCUAGUUGGUGAGGUAAUGGCUCACCAAGGCGACGAUCCGUAACUGGUCUGAGAGGAUGAUCAGUCACACUGGAACUGAGACACGGUCCAGACUCCUACGGGAGGCAGCAGUGGGGAAUAUUGGACAAUUGGCGAAAGCCUGAUCCAGCCAUGCCGCGUGUGUGAAGAAGGUCUUCGGAUUGAAAGCACUUUAAGUUGGGAGGAAGGGUACUUACCUAAUACGUGAGUAUUUUGACGUUACCGACAGAAUAAGCACC